ensembl:snRNA U4 U4 spliceosomal RNA
AGCUUUGUGCGUGGCGGUAUCAUAGCCAAUGAGGUUUCUUCCAGGCAUGAUUAUUGCUAAUUGAAAACUUUUCCCAAUACCCCACCAUGAUGACGCAUUGGCAAUUUUUGACAGUCUCUAUGAAGA